AUUGUAAAUAAGCCUUCCUGCUUCUUCAUGUUCGGUCAGACAAGGAAGUUAGAAAGCAGAUCGAUGGAAGUUGCUUGUUCGAAUCAUAUCUCGGAGAUUAGCUAGAGUAGGCGUUGGCAAAGACGUGAUGUGAAGCAACCAAUGAAAGAAAUGGCCCCGGUGCAGAAAGUUCUACCUGAGUGAAAGGAUCGUUCCCAUUCUAUCUAUGAUAUAGUUUAUGAUUCAAGAAAGCAUGGUUGGAGUUCUUCUAUUGACGAAGGGAAGAGGACGGUCUGACUUUUCAGAGAUACCUGACUUAGUGGGCUGGUCAUAGCAGAAGGUCAGAGGUGGGAAACAAGGAAACAGAGGAAAUGCUUACUGGGACAUAGCCUUCGGUACGAGUUGAAGGGAAAAAGAUGAAAGGAAGUUGAUUGAACAAAGAGAUGAAAUCACUUAUAGAUAGAAGGAUGUUGUAUGACGGAACGAUGACUUAAUGCUUCCAUUUUUGCUAGAGAAAUGACGGACGGAUGGAUUAGCAAAAAGGAAAGAAUGAGAACUGGUCUG
rnacentral:lncRNA from 1 species